AAAAACACUAAAAGCAUAUAUUGUACCAAAUUUCUCGUACAUCAUGAGAAUGAUCCCUUUAAAGAUCCCAGAUAGUUGGCUAGAACUAAUCCAAUCAUCAUUCACUAAAUUUAUCAGGUCAGGCAAAAAAACUAGAAUCAAAAAAGAUAUUAUGUCUAGGAAAAAAAAUGAAGGAGGCAUGAGUAUCCCAAUUAUCCAAGAUAUUGCACAAGCCAAUUUAAUAGCGCACGUCCUAAUGAUAAAUAAGGAAGAUUAUGUAAAUGAAAACUGGUACAAAAGAGAACAGAUUCUGACCCUGGGAGCUAAG